rnacentral:rRNA from 1 species
CCUACGGGUGGCAGCAGUAGGGAAUAUUGCUCAAUGGGGGAAACCCUGAAGCAGCAACGCCGCGUGGAGGCUGAAGGUUUUCGGAUUGUAAACUCCUUUUGUUAGAGAAGAUAAUGACGGUAUCUAACGAAUAAGCACCGGCUAACUCCGUGCCAGCAGCCGCGGUAAUACGGAGGGUGCAAGCGUUACUCGGCAUCACUGGGCUGAAAGAAGGCGUAGGAAGGGCAGCAAGUCAGAUGUGAAAUCCUAUGGCUUAACCAUAGAACUGCAUUUGAAAAUGUUAUUCUAGAGUAUGGGAGAGGUAGGUGGAAUUCUUGGUGUAGGGGUAAAAUCCGUAGAGAUCAAGAGGAAUACUCAGUGCGAAGGCGACCUGCUAGAACAUAACUGACGCUGAUGCGCGAAAGCGUGGGGAGCAAACAGGAUUAGAUACCCCUGUAGUC